CAUGCUUGUAAUCCUAGCACUCUGGGAGGAUGGCGAAGAAGGAUUCCAAGUUCGAGCCCAGCCUGGGCAACUUAGUGAGACCCUGUUCAAAAUUUUAAAAGGGCCAAAGAUAUAGCUCAGUCCUGGGUUUAAUCUCCAAUACUGAAAAAUAAAUAAAAUUGGUUCAACCUGACGUGGUGGUCCACAGGUAGUGGAUCACAAAUUUGAGCCCUGCUUGGUCAAUUCAGCUAUUUAGCAAGACCCCAUCUCAAAGAAUAAAAAUUUAAAAAGGGGAUGUAGCUCAGUGAUAAGGCCCUGGUUUAACCCCCUGUAGAGAGAAAAGUCAGGCGUGAUCACGCACGCCUAUCAUCCUAGCUAAAUGGAAGACUAAGGCAGGAGAAUCACAAGUUGGGGGGCCUGGGGAAUUUAGUGGGAGCCUGUCUCAAAUAAAAUUGGAAACACAACAGAGGAUGCUUUUUCCGCUUCAUUUCUGGAAGCCCCGCCUAUUCCGAGCAAGACGUCACUCAGGGAGCCUCCGUCUCCACGGCGACGGAAUGCAGCCUCGGAAAUCCCUGCGCAAGCGCAGAAAGAUUCCACUGGGGGGGAGGGGCGCGCCAGACCCGCCCCCUUACGCACAUUCAUCUACUGGGACUUCCCCACGGCCCCUUUCUGUGCCCGGUGUCCGCUCGCCCAGUUGACCGUCAGGCGCGAGUCUCUCUCUUUCUGAGGACCGUCCUCUCCUCACUAUGUGGCCUUCUUUGCCAGGAGGCGAUCGCGCAGACACAGAAGGCCCCAGGCCCGGCCGGCCCAGGCCCACCCGUUCGAUCGCAACCGUACACUCGAGUCUGCGCCGGGAAUGUCACACGCGCGGGGUCUCCUGGGAGCUCCCGCCCCGCCCCCUUGCGCGGUGCUGCCUGCGUUAUGCGCAGGCGCUCCUGGGAGCUCCCGCCCCGCCCACUGGCCCAGGUCCGCGAACUACGGCUCCCUGUAGGCAGUGCAGCGGCCUGGACCAGAGCCGGGGUCGCGACGGGCGGCCGGGUGGGCUCGGGCGCGGCGGGGCGGCCUGGCCUGGGUCCUGAGCAGCGGGACAGUCGGCUGACGACGAGGUGCAGGCUCAGCGCUGCCUGGUUACCCCGCGGCCCUGGGUCGAGCGCGCCGGAAAACUCUGGGCAAGUGGGGGCCGGGCCCGGCGGCCUUUCGGAGCCGGGGGCGGUGGCAGCGGACCCGCGCGCCGGGGGAGCGGGGCAGGGCUGGCGCCUCGGUCCCUCCGUCUGGGGCCGCCGCUGGUGCCUGUGCGUCCGCAGCCUCGGCCGGGACCGCGCGGGGCCCCGACGUCCGCAGUCCCGGGCUGACCGCGGCUGACGCAGGGGUCCUGGCCUCCCAACCGCGAGCGCCCUGAGGCGGGACGCGGCGCCGGGGUCGCGCUGUGUCGCAGGUGCUAACUGUGCGUCUCGGCACCCCGGCCGCAGGGUUGGAUCGCUUGGUGCCCACGCCGAAGCUCUGCACGGUCGAGGCCAGUCUCUGGGGUCCAGGAGCCAGGGCUGCAGCCCGAGCCUCAAGGCGGGCCGGGACCGUGGACGACCGGACAGCGUGGCUUUUUACACCCAGUCGCCAUGGCUGUGAGGUUGGGUUUCCUGGCCUCUCUCUCGGGCUUCACCCCACUCACUGGUGGCUGGUCUCCAUGGCACCCAGGAUGCCCACCUGCAUCUUAGAAGCGGCUGUCCGAUGGGAAGAGCCUGUCACGCCCCGUUUUGGGCCAGUUGACUGCCGCACACGAUGUCAGCUUGGCAGUGUCUUUGGGCACAGCCGAGGUGCUAGGAGUAGGACAGCCUCAUGGCCCGUGCUGUCUGCAUCACGUCACGUUAUUCUGAAUAAAAGCAAUCUGACAACUUCUUGCUAAACAUGAUUUAAUUUCUGUAUUGUUGUAAAGCUUUCUAAUAAAGUAUUCACAAAUAGGGAACAGUGUCUUCCUGCACCGUCCUGGGGCUUCUGUCCUCUUAAGAGACGGAUGGUUCUUGUGGAGAGAGACGCGUGUGGGUGGCAGCAGCCCCAGUGGCCUCUGGUGAUGGUGACAAAUACUAAGUGUGUCAGACUGCCUCUAAAACCAUUUUUCUCCAG
ensembl:lncRNA